ACGCUCGACACCUACGGGGCAGCAGUGGGGAAUAUUGCACAAUGGGGGAAACCCUGAUGCAGCGACGCCGCGUGAGCGAAGAAGUAUUUCGGUAUGUAAAGCUCUAUCAGCAGGGAAGAAACUGACGGUACCUGACUAAGAAGCACCGGCUAAAUACGUGCCAGCAGCCGUGGUAAUCUGAGCGGGCUGGCAAGGC
rnacentral:rRNA from 1 species